GGCUCCUGCAGCCCCUGAGAGAAAAUUCAGUACCACUGUCAGAGGGAAAGUGGGCCUGGAGGACUGGGAGCAGGGGCGUGUGAACAGCAUGCCCGGCAUUUGCAGGAGCAGUUAGAAGACAGAUGCAUUCUCCUCGGGAGCUGCCACUGACCACACCCCAGUGCUAAUCCCAGAACCAUCUGUGUCACACAACUGCUUUCAAGCUACCAACAAAAUGUGCAGAGUUGUGGGAAGGAACUUCCACAAGAGGAUGUGCUUUCAGAGGAGGAUGUCAUAGAUGAGAACUGCUGCCAUGAACAACCAUAAACAACCGCUGACAGCUGCCUCUCCUGGGGGCUUCCCCCCAGCACAUCAGAUGGUGCACGGUGCCACAAACCUCCGCUGUGUCCCAAGGCCCAGUAUCAGAGGUCGAAUCAAGCUUUGCCUAAACAUAUUAAACAGAAAAUUGCAGAAAAAAUUUGUGACCUGUGUGUGA
rnacentral:lncRNA from 1 species